UACGUAGGGUGCAAGCGUUAAUCGGAAUUACUGGGCGUAAAGCGUGCGCAGGCGGCUAUGCAAGACAGAUGUGAAAUCCCCGGGCUUAACCUGGGAACUGCAUUUGUGACUGCAUGGCUAGAGUACGGUAGAGGGGGAUGGAAUUCCGCGUGUAGCAGUGAAAUGCGUAGAUAUGCGGAGGAACACCGAUGGCGAAGGCAAUCCCUGGACCUGUACUGACGCUCAUGCACGAAAGGCGUGGGGAGCAAACGAGG
rnacentral:rRNA from 1 species